UACGAAGGGGGCUAGCGUUGUUCGGAUUUACUGGGCGUAAAGCGCACGUAGGCGGAUUGGUCAGUUAGAGGUGAAAUCCUGGAGCUCAACUCCAGAACUGCCUUUAAUACUGCCAGUCUCGAGUCCGGAAGAGGUGAGUGGAACUCCUAGUGUAGAGGUGGAAUUCGUAGAUAUUAGGAAGAACACCAGUGGCGAAGGCGGCUCACUGGUCCGGUACUGACGCUGAGGUGCGAAAGCGUGGGGAGCAAACAGG
rnacentral:rRNA from 1 species